rnacentral:rRNA from 1 species
UACACUCCUACGGGAGGCAGCAGUGGGGAAUAUUGGACAAUGGGGGCAACCCUGAUCCAGCCAUGCCGCGUGAGUGAUGAAGGCCCUAGGGUUGUAAAGCUCUUUUGUGCGGGAAGAUAAUGACGGUACCGCAAGAAUAAGCCCCGGCUAACUUCGUGCCAGCAGCCGCGGUAAUACGAAGGGGGCUAGCGUUGCUCGGAAUCACUGGGCGUAAAGGGUGCGUAGGCGGGUCUUUAAGUCAGGGGUGAAAUCCUGGAGCUCAACUCCAGAACUGCCUUUGAUACUGAGGAUCUUGAGUCCGGAAGAGGUGAGUGGAACUGCGAGUGUAGAGGUGAAAUUCGUAGAUAUUCGCAAGAACACCAGUGGCGAAGGCGGCUCACUGGUCCGGUACUGACGCUGAGGCACGAAAGCGUGGGGAGCAAACAGGAUUAGAUACCCCGGUAGUCC